GUGGGGAAUAUUCCGCAAUGGACGAAAGUCUGACGGAGCAACGCCGCGUGAGUGAUGAAGGUUUUCGGACUGUAAAGCUCUGUUGUUUAGGACGUAAGUGCCUGUUGCAAAUAGUUACAGGUAUUGACGGUACUGAACGAGGAAGCCACGGCUAACUACGUGCCAGCAGCCGCGGUAAUACGUAGGUGGCAAGCGUUGUCCGGAAUUAUUGGGCGUAAAGAGCAUGUAGGCGGGAAUCUAAGUCUGUUGUGAAAAUGCGGGGCUCAACCCCGUAUUGCGAUGGAAACUGGGUUUCUUGAGUGCAGGAGAGGAAAGGGGAAUUCCCAGUGUAGCGGUGAAAUGCGUAGAUAUUGGGAGGAACACCAGUGGCGAAGGCGCCUUUCUGGACUGUGUCUGACGCUGAGAUGCGAAAGCCAGGGUAGCGAACGGGAUUAGAUACCCUAGUAGUCC
rnacentral:rRNA from 1 species